AAAAGUUGAAAGACAUCUCCGUUCUUCUAAACCCAUUUUCUUCCCCAAACUAUUUUCCCCCCAAAUCUUUCCUUCCCUCUCUCCAUCUCCUCUCCUCAACCCCACCGUGAGCCCGCCACCGUCAACCACUCCCGAGCCCGCCACCGUCGACCACUCACGAGCCCGACACCGUCGACCACUCACGAGCCGCCACUGUGCGUUCUCCAUCUCCGGACAAAAGUCGCCGUCCGUUCUCCAUCUCCGGUUCGGCUCCGAAGAAUCCGACGACCCAACCACUGUACCGCCACGAGCAGCCCCAGACGAACCACCACCACAGCCGCCGCCGACGAGCCCAUCCACCGAAUUGGAGGGACAAAGUUGGCUGAGAUUUGGGCUCCCACAGUUCCGGCGACCAUUUCCCUCAUUUCCGGCACCGGUACCGAUCUCCUCCAUUUACGGAGAAAUUUGUGGAGGUUCACAUCUCCCACAUACUUGGGUAAUUGACUGGAUGGCAGUGAGACAGAGAGCGGUGGCAACGCUGCCCAGCCUCAUUCGGAGCCUCCGAAAGGAGUCCCCAAAGCCCACGAACCCAUCGGCGUUGCCGUCACUGCGACGCGCUUUCUCCCUCUACGAUCAGAUCAAUCUCAUCGACAACGUCCCCGAAGACCAGCUCCGCUUCCAACGGUAUACGGAAACGGGGUUCACUGUAAAUGGCGUUGAUUAUGAAGGUGGAUUGCUUUGUGUGGGGAACAUGUUAAUGUCUUGGGCUCCAAAGAAAUUCCCAGAGGUCACCCCAGAUAGCUUGAAGAAGAAUAUGGGGUUCGCCACACACCUGAGUCUGACAUUUCAUCUUCUUUAUGCUGUGGUGCAGCUUAUCUAUCUUCCAAAUUGUGCGGCCUAUACCAGAGAUUCUGAUCCUUGGCUGUGGGAGGAACAUUGAAGUAAUAGAUCCUGAACUUCGGCGCUUCAUUCGGUCUACUGGCAUGAAGUUAGAAGCCCUUGACUCGAGAAAUGCUGUGUCCACUUACAACAUACUGAAUGAGGAGGGUAGGGUUGUGGCUGCUGCGCUUCUUCCAUAUGGGGUUUCUUCUUGAUGCCUAGAUCCAGCAUGUGAUAUGCUUUUCAUUGUCAGCUUAUACAAGAUCCCAUUUCAGUUUAAACUAUUCAAACUCCCUUGUCCUUUUAACGAGUACUAUUGCACUUGUAAAGGAAGAUAAGUUUUGGCUCAUGUGAAUAAGUUGGAAGUUGGAUGGUCCAUAAUUGUAGAUCUUUAUGCAUUUCUGCAUUUCUUGUGUUACUACUUCUGUAUUUCUUCUUUGGAGCAGGUCUGCUCAAGUUGGCCUAGAGCUUUUAAGCAUUGUCUUCUACAUGGUCUCUUGAAUUUUCUGUGUAGUUAAAUAAAUAAAUAAAUAAUGAUAGAGAAAAUGUCUAUGAUUUGGCAAAAUAGCCGACAUCAUAGUUAUUAAUUUAUUUA